AACGCACGAGACCUGCGGACCUGCGGAGGGAUCAUUACCGAGUUAUCCAACUCCCAACCCCUGUGAGUUAUACCUUUAAUUGUUGCUUCGGCGGGACUUCGCGCCCGCCGGGGACCCAAACCUUCUGAAUUUUUUAAUAAGUAUCUUCUGAGUGGUUAAAAAAAUGAAUCAAAACUUUCAGCAACGGAUCUCU
rnacentral:misc_RNA from 1 species